rnacentral:rRNA from 1 species
GACGAACGCUGGCGGCGUGCUUAACACAUGCAAGUCGAACGGAAAGGCUCCAGCUUGCUGGAGUACUCGAGUGGCGAACGGGUGAGUAACACGUGGGUGAUCUGCCCUGCACUUCGGGAUAAGCCUGGGAAACUGGGUCUAAUACCGGAUAGGACCGCACUUUGGUGUGUGUGGUGGAAAGGUUUUUCUGGUGUGGGAUGAGCUCGCGGCCUAUCAGUUUGUUGGUGGGGUAAUGGCCUACCAAGACGGCGACGGGUAGCCGGCCUGAGAGGGUGGACGGUCACAUUGGGACUGAGAUACGGCCCAGACGCCUACGGGAGGCAGCAGUGGGGAAUAUUGCACAAUGGGGGAAACCCUGAUGCAGCGACGCCGCGUGGGGGAUGAAGGCCUUCGGGUUGGAAACUCCUUUCGCUAGGGACGAAGCUUUUUGUGACGGUACCUGGAGAAGAAGCACCGGCUAACUACGUG